GGCCUGAGUGAGUUUAUUUUAAAGGGGUUUUACAAAUUUGUUACAAUUUUCAUUUAGCCGGGCAGUGGUGGUGCACGCCUUUAAUCCCAGCACUUGGGAGGCAGAGGCGGGCGGAUUUCUGAGUUCGAGGCCAGCCUGGUCUACAAGUGAGUUCCAGGACAGCCAGGGCUAUACAGAGAAACCCUGUCUUGUAAAAAAACAAAAAACAGUUUUCAUUUAUGUAUGUGCGGGUGCGUAUGCAAUGGUUGGCAUGUUUAAGUCAGAGGACAAUCUGCAGGAGUUAGUUCUCUUUCUUCUUCCAUCACGGGGCUCACAGGGGUCGAACUCAGUUGUAUUAUUUGGCCGCAGGCAGGUUCACCUUUUGAGCCAUCCAACUGGCCCCAAAGUGGGUGUGUGGCCGGAGAUGACCGCGUGGACAAGCCGCCACCAACAGGGGGCGCUGCCCCGUCCCCGUAAGGCGUCCACCCGUGGAGGCGCGCACGCGAGGCCUCCCAACGCGCCUGCGCUGAGUGUGGACGCCAGCUUGCCUUCCACCCGACGCCCAGCUGUCGCGGCCGGAGUGGAAACUGCGUGACGCGCGGAGAGCGUGGCGGCCAUUUUCGUCUCCUGGGCGCGUCAGCUGAGCGGCUUGGGGCCCGAAGACAAGCGCCGCGCAAGCGCACCCACGGCGGCCUCAGGUAACUCCCAUCUGACGGGAGAGGCGUCGCCACCGCCGGAAGUUUGGUGUUUGUGCCGCGGGGCGGCGUCGGCCGCCGCAGAAGCAGCUGAGCGUCUCCGGGUACCCGGAUGUGAGGCGACCUGCGGGCUGCAGGAGAACCCCCGGCCGCGCAGCAGGAAGGUGCUGUAUAAUGUGUUAAGAAGAGGCUAUAAGGAAUGGUUUUAUCAGAUUUUCUUGAGUUAUGGUGGCUGAAACAUCAGUUCUAUCUUGUGGGAAAAGAACUAAAUGGCAGCACAAAAGGAAAUCUAUAUUAAUAGAGUACUUUACUAAGCGAAGGAGAUUAAAUAGAAGCCACAAACCAACAAACUUGGCAAGCAAGGAAAGAAACCUGUUAGCCAUAAGACAUGUUACAAAUUCAUCAACAUCCAGUAGCUGUAGACUUCAGAAGAAAAAACUUUUCAGAAAUUUUGUCAAAGCAGACAGGUCAGUGAUAAAUAACUCCUCUAGUAAUAGGGUUAGGCCGGAAACUAAUCAUAAUUAAAACAAAUUGGAUCUGAAUGAAGUUUAUUUUCAUUAAAAAAAUAAAAACUUCUGAAAACAUUAAAUUAGAAUUUUCUGCAGAUUUUCAUUUCCCUAUCCAGCAGAAAGCAAGUAUCUUUCAACAUUCAUGCCAGCUUUUCUCAUGUCUUAGAAAUUGCCAAGAGCAAAAUUACUUGAAACAACCUGGUAUUUUUGUUGGAAAUGUACAUCAGUAUAAGUUAAAGUUGAUUUUUAAGAUCUACUCCUUAGUGACAAUACUAAGUACUUAGCAUCUGUACCUACCUGGACACAGUCCUCAAAAACUCCUCAGAAAGAAAGACAUUACUCAGGAAUAAUGUCCAUUCAGGAGAAAUCAAAAGAAAAUUCCUCCAUAGUUACUAAAGAAAGUGAAGAUGAGAAUUUAGAAGAAGAAGUUGAAAGUUCUCAGAACAGUCCAACAAAGAAGUCAGGCUCCAAGGAAGCUGUAAAGACACCAGUUAGAUUUUCCAACAAAAGUAAAACAAAUGAGUCUGAAUUUGGAAUGCGAAUGAGUACAAGGUCAGCAUCAUGUUCAGCUGAUAAAACUGCUACUAACUCCUUUAAUAAAAAUACAGUAACUUUGAAGGGACAAUCACAAGAAUCUUCAAAAACGAAGAAAUUAUGUCAGGAAAAAUUAUCACUUGGAAUCUUGAAAGGGAAUGAACAGCUUCACCGCAGAUCACAAAGACUACAGCAGUUAACAGAGUGUACAACCAGGUCUUUGCGCAGUAGAGAGAUUCAUGGUCAAAUUCAAACAGUUAAACAGAAUCAGCAAUCAGCAAGAAGAGAACAAUGUAACAGUACUCAAAGUAAAUGUAAUAAGGUUAAGGUAAAUCAAAAGCAUGUGAAAAGAAAAGUGCUUGAAAUCAAGUCUGAUUGUAAGGAGGACAGGCAUUCAGUUACAAAUGAAGUAAUAAAUUCUCCCAAAGGAAAGAAGCGCAAAGUACAGCAUCAGACAACUUCUACUUGUAGUUCUCAGUGCAACCAAGGGUCUGAAAAAUGUCUCCAGAAGACUAGUAGAAAAGAAGAAAUAAAACCUGUGCCUGUAACUGCUGAUAUUAGAAAAUUAAAAGCAGCUACUUCAGUGGUCUCUAAAAAGAAUGAACUGAGGAAAUCAGCUCAUACACAAGUGAGUACUAGCACAAAACGCCCCCAAAUCCCACUGCCACUAGUGCCUGAACACAGUGAUGACCAGGAAUUGGAGCAAGCUGGAAAGAGCAAAAGAGGUAGCAUUCUCCAACUCUGUGAAGAAAUUGCUGGUGAAAUUGAAUCAGAUACUGUAGAGGUAAAAAAGGAAUCAUCAUGUGUGGAAAGUGUAAAGGAGGAGAAGCCUGCAGAGGUAAAACUGCAAGGGACCGAUGCUGAAAGACAAAUACUCCAUCAUAAAGAAGCCAACCAGGAUGUGCGCUCUAAUCGGUUCUUUCCCAGUAGGAAAACAAAGCCUGUGAAAUGCGUACUAAAUGGAAUAAAUAGCUCAACUAAGAAGAACUCCAACUGGACUAAAAUUAAGCUUUCAAAAUUUAACUCUGUGCAGCAACAUAAAUUGGACUCUCAAGUGUCUCCUAAGUUGAACUUAUUACAAACUGGUUUGUCAACAUCAGUUUUAGAAAUGCCUCAUCCAGUGUCCCAAAGUACAUUUUUAGAGAUGAAAGCGCAUGGUAAUGUAACUUGCCAACGGGAUAAAAUGAAAGGAAUUAAAUCUGAAGAAGUUAAAAUUAAUAAUAUUGCAAUUGAAAUUAAUAAAGCCACAAAAAGGGAUCCUGGAAAUUGUAAUUUGGAUAACCAUAUUAAACCCUCUCCUGACUCAUCAUUGGAUAAUCAGAUGAAACUUUCUUGUGAGUCAGCACCAGAUCAGAAUUUCAGCAUAUGUUCAGCAUCUGAGGUGGAGACUAAUCCAUUAGAAAACACUGCUGCUGCCUCAACUCUUCUCAGUCAAGCUAAGAUUGAUGAGGACAGAACAUUUCCAGGUAAUACUUUGAAAUUUUUAUUUGAUUUUUACAGUAGUCAGUGCCAUAUUUGUUACUGUUUGAGAACAUUUUCAUGGGAAACAGGCUUGUUGACCAUUGCUGUAUUUUUAAAAAUAUGUUUAUUUGUGUCACUUUGCAUCACAUGUGUGUAUAUGUCCCAGAAUAGGGCAGCAGAUCCCCUAACUAGACCUUGCAGUGAGUGCUGGGAACUGAACUUGUAUCCUCUGCAAGAACAUCAAGUGUUCUUAGGUAGUGAGUCAUCUCUAGCCCUUGCUAUGGUUUUUAAAUUUGUGGUUAUCAUUAAUUCUUUCUAGAAUUUCUUCUAUUGACUGCUUUGUGGCAGUACCUAAAUACUAUCUUUGGCCUGCCUACCACAAAUUCUUUGGUUUCUCUAGCUCCUAUUUUGAUAUUCUCUAGAGAAGUGCUCUUUAAUGAAUUGCUUAAGCUGGGGAUAUUCCUCAGACUUUAUCUGUUAUUUGUGUUUUACCUUUGUGGGUUUUCCUCAGUACUCAGUGAGUCUGUCUUUGAAUUAAAGGUUUAACUAUGUUUCAAGUUUUCCACUUACAAUGUUCAAGAGCUUUAUUUUUAAUACCUCGUGAUUUUUAAUAUUAGAUGAACUGUUGGAUGAAUAUUGCUCACCUAUGCUCACAUGAAGCAACAGAGGAUCUAUCUAAAACUCUGUAACUGUAUUAUUUACUCUAAGGGAAAGAUACACUUGAAGUAGAGUGCUGAGGUCAGCGACCACUCAGGUGUAACUGAGUGCCUGCAGUUUACUCAAGUAGGGGAGGGAUGAGUGAAAUACAGUCAUGGGAAAUGCAUUUACAUAAAAGUAAAGCACCUUUAUUAAAUUUAAUUAUGUACAUAGUUAAGAUUCUAAAAACCAUACCAUUUUAAACAAAAUGUUUUCAUAUAUUUCCAUAAAGAGUUUAGUCAUGUAGACAUUGAGCCAGUUUCUUUUCUUUCGUAUUUGUUGAUGGUUUCUGAAAUGACGAGAUGAACUAAAUCUACUAGAUCUCUUUGCUGCUCCUUGGUCUGAGUUUGUAUCGUGUAGAACUUUCUGCUUCUUUUUGAAGGUUCAGCUCCUAAUCAGCAGCACAGUGUACUCAGUGAUGAAGCGUCUAUCAACAGAAAGAACAGGGAUGUACCACCAAACCAUUCUCAGCUGAAGCAUGAUUCUCAUUUGGAGAUAACAAUUCCAAAGUCCUUGAAACUGAAAGACUCAGAGAAAGUGGAUGAAAAACAGCUGGUCAUAGAUGCAGGACACAAACGAUUUGGAGCAGUGUCCUGUAAUAUCUGUGGAAUGCUCUAUACAGCUUCAAAUCCAGAAGAUGAAACACAGCACCUGCUUUUCCACAACCAGUUUAUAAGCGCUGUAAAGUAUGUGGGCUGGAAAAAGGAAAGAAUUCUUGCUGAAUAUCCUGAUGGUAGAAUAAUAAUGGUUCUUCCUGAAGACCCAAAGUAUGCCCUGAAAAAGGUUGAUGAAAUUAGAGAGAUGGUUGACAAUGAUCUGGGUUUCCAACAGGCUCCAUUGAUGUGCUAUUCCAGAACUAAGACACUUCUCUUUAUUUCUAAUGACAAAAAAGUAGUUGGUUGCCUAAUUGCAGAACAUAUCCAGUGGGGCUAUCGAGUUAUAGAAGAGAAACUUCCAGUUAUCAGGUCAGAAGAAGAAAAAGUCCGAUUUGAAAGGCAAAAAGCCUGGUGCUGCUCAACAUUGCCAGAGCCUGCAAUAUGUGGGAUCAGUCGGAUAUGGGUGUUCAGCAUGAUGCGGCGGAAGAAGAUAGCUUCUCGCAUGAUUGAAUGCCUAAGGAGUAACUUUAUUUAUGGCUCAUAUUUGAGUAAAGAAGAAAUUGCUUUCUCAGAUCCCACUCCUGACGGAAAGCUGUUUGCAACACAGUACUGUGGCACUGGUCAGUUUCUGGUCUAUAAUUUUAUCAAUGGACAGAAUACCACCUGAUAGAAAUCUUACUUGUUGUGCCAGAAGACAUCUUUUGAAGAGAAGGAAUUGGUUGCUGACUUUAUCCAGGAACUAGGGCCAUUUUUUUUACAAAUGAACUCAGGACUGGCAACAACCAUAUGGUUGUUCCAUUUUCAUAAAAUUGGAAACAAUGCAGUAAUAGCUUAUUAUUGUUUUGUUUUUUUAAAGAAGAUAUUUUAUUAUCUUUUACAGAAAUUUAUGAUUGUAUUUUAUCUAUAGUUAUUUAGACAUGUUUACAUGCAGCAGAUAAUUGUUCAUAGUGGACUGAAGAUUAAUGCAAGGACUAUGGUCUCAUUGAUAAGUAUAUUUUGAAGUUCUUAAUAUGGAAAUAUACCAGUGUAGCUUGGUACUGUAUUUUUUUAUAUUGAUCUGCUGAUACCAGUUAUAGGUUUAAAGAUUGUAUUUUCAAAAUGAAAACCAGUGCUUUUGAGUUACUAUUCAAAGAGGGUACAGUAUUACACACUUAAGAAUUUGAAGUUACUAAAGUGUACUCUUAAGUAUACCCCACAGAAAAGGAGAGCUCCAAGUGAAAGGACUUGUAUAAUAGCAAGUGUCUCCAUUGCUUAUGUUUCUGAGACUGAUGGUGGAAAGGUCUCUCCUGUGGGGAGCCAUAAAUGACUAGAGUCACAAAGAACUACAGAAUAGUUGUAAACUAAAUGUGGACGGCUUGGUAUCUGCGUUGUUAUUCCUCAGAAAUACUGCACUGAGUAUACGCCCUCAUUACUGGACUUCAUCUUGAUACUUGUCUGUCCUUCAUAGUGCCCUCUACUUUUAAAGGGUUAUAUGUCGAAAAACUGCUGUGGCCUUUUAUGACCUGUAUAUAAUGUAGAAUAAAAUAAUAAAAUACUUGAUAGCUUUUUCUAAGUGAUAAAUGUACUUGAUACAAUGUUAUAUUGAAUGUUUGUACCCUUUCAGGGAGUUUCUUUGGUUUGGGACUGAAAUAAGAUUAAAACACAGGCUUCUUAAAGGU